CUUUUUACGUUACAAAAGCCCUCCUGAUCAUUGGAUUGGUCUCCAGAAAGAUUCAGGUCAACCUUGGAGAUGGAUCAACUGCAGCAUUUUCACAGGACAGCUCUUCACACUUCCAACUGAAAAGGGAAGAAGAUGUGCAUAUUUGAACCAUAAAGAUGUUGCCAGCUCCAGCUGCACAAGAGAAGAACUCUGGAUCUGUAGCAAAGACAUAUUUGAAGGCAAUGCCUGAAUUACAGAAACCGAGCCCUAAUUUAUUCUCUGCACAUACAGUGAGGUGCUUUAAAAUGUAAUAUAAUAAAAUAAUAAAUAAUAAAACCUUAUUUACCGUAUAUCCUGCCCUAUAUCCCUUUGGGGACUCAGGGCAGUUGUACUUGUUUUUUGCCUUGUUUUCAGCCUCAUGCCCCAUGCAGAAGAAAAUUAAUAAAAUUUUUGCAGAAUGUAUUUCAGAGGGCUGAUUUUUUUAAAAAAAAUACUUUAUUUUAAUUUUUUUAAGUUCAAAUUUUGAAAUUCUUCAAAAUUCAAAAUUGGCAAGUCCUUCUCUUUCUUGUGCAAAAUAUGAGCAAAAGGUUUCCAAUCUUUUUUUAAAAAAAAUCAGAUGUCCCUCCUUUUAGUGAACAGUUAAUUUGUCCAUCUCAGUCAAGUCCAUCAUUUUUAUCAUCCAAUUCUCUGUUGUUGGUGUUGCUGAAUACUUCCAUUUCUGAGCAUAGAGCAAUCUGGCUGCUGUGAUCAUAUAUUGCAACAGUCUAGAAUAGUGAUUUGUAUCAGUCAGACCAAGUGGAGAAGUCUUGGGUUUUAAAUGGAUAUUCUCAUGCAAAUCUUUCUGGAUCACCUUAUGUAUUUGAAUCCAGUAUUUCUUGGCAUGUUUAAAUUUUCACCACAUAUGAUAGAAAGACCCCACUUGCUGUUUACAUUUCCAGCAAGUGUUGGAAACCUCUUUAGACAUCUUAGAAAGUAGUUUAGGAGUCGUAUACCAUCAACACAUCAUUUUAUAAAAAUUCUGUUUCAAAUUAUAACAUAACAUAAAAUUUAACCCCUUAUUCCACAUUUUCUCUCAUUGGUCCAACAUUGUAUUAUGUCCAACAUUUUAUGCCCACUUUGCCAUGCAUUCUUUAACUUCGUUAUCUGCCAUUCCCCAUUUCAAUAACAUCUUAUAUAUUUUAGUAAUUAAAUGUUCAUCAUUAGCACAUAAAUUGCAACUAAAAUUCUGAUUAAUUGCUUGUAUUGCCUAAAUCUCUCCAUUAACUGUAAAUAAGAAAAUCACUGAAAAUAAAACUCUCUGCAAUCAAU